GAGAGAGGCUCGCAGCACGGAAGACUGCUAAUCUUCAUGACCUUGGUUGGACCCCAGGGCUCACUCA
rnacentral:tRNA from 1 species